rnacentral:misc_RNA from 1 species
GAUGAAGAACGUAGCGAAAUGCGAUAAGUAAUGUGAAUUGCAGAAUUCAGUGAAUCAUCGAAUCUUUGAACGCACAUUGCGCCCGUCAGUAUUCUGGCGGGCAUGCCUGUUCGAGCGUCAUUACGCCCCUCAAGUCCCCUGUGGACUUGGUGUUGGGGAUCGGCGAGGCUGGUUUUCCAGCACAGCCGUCCCUUAAAUUAAUUGGCGGUCUCGCCGUGGCCCUCCUCUGCGCAGUAGUAAAACACUCGCAACAGGAGCCCGGCGCGGUCCACUGCCGUAAAACCCCCCAACUUUUUAUGGUUGACCUCGAAUCAGGUAGGACUACCCGCUGAACUUAAGCAUAUCAAUAAGCGGAGGA